UACGAAGGGGGCUAGCGUUGCUCGGAAUCACUGGGCGUAAAGGGUGCGUAGGCGGGUCUUUAAGUCAGGGGUGAAAUCCUGGAGCUCAACUCCAGAACUGCCUUUGAUACUGAGGAUCUUGAGUUCGGGAGAGGUGAGUGGAACUGCGAGUGUAGAGGUGAAAUUCGUAGAUAUUCGCAAGAACGCCAGUGGCGAAGGCGGCUCACUGGCCCGGUACUGACGCUGAGGUGCGAAAGCGUGGGGAGCAAACAGG
rnacentral:rRNA from 1 species